rfam:Glycine soja cultivar W05 scaffold3233_27, whole genome shotgun sequence.
AUAACUUUCUCGGCCUUUGGGCUAAAGAUCAAGUGUAGUACCUGUUUUUCAGUUUAAUAUCUGAUAUGUGGUUCAUUGGUCCACACGAUAUUAAAUUACAUUUUUGUAGGGAGGGUCUACUACAGUAGCUUGCUAUUGGCACUCUCAAAUGUCACUCGUGCAUUGUAUUGUAGCAUGAGCGUGGCACACCCUAC